rnacentral:rRNA from 1 species
UACGUAGGGAGCAAGCGUUGUCCGGAAUCAUUGGGCGUAAAGCGCGCGUAGGUGGCCUCAUAAGUCCGCUGUGAAAGUCAAAGGCUCAACCUUUGAAAGCCGAUGGAUACUGCAGGGCUAGAGUCCGGAAGAGGCGAGUGGAAUUCCUGGUGUAGCGGUGGAAUGCGCAGAUAUCAGGAGGAACACCAAUAGCGAAGGCAGCUCGCUGGGACGGUACUGACGCUAAGGCGCGAAAGCGUGGGGAGCGAACAGG